rnacentral:rRNA from 1 species
UACGUAGGGUGCAAGCGUUGUCCGGAAUUAUUGGGCGUAAAGAGCUCGUAGGCGGUUUGUCGCGUCUGCUGUGAAAUCCCGAGGCUCAACCUCGGGCUUGCAGUGGGUACGGGCAGACUAGAGUGCGGUAGGGGAGAUUGGAGUUCCUGGUGUAGCGGUGGAAUGCGCAGAUAUCAGGAGGAACACCGAUGGCGAAGGCAGAUCUCUGGGCCGUAACUGACGCUGAGGAGCGAAAGCGUGGGGAGCGAACAGG